UAAUUUUUAAUUUAAGAAAAAUAUUUCAUUUACAAUGAAAAUUUAGUAUAUUUAAAAUUAUUAAAAUUAU
rnacentral:tRNA from 1 species